rnacentral:rRNA from 1 species
UACGGAGGGUGCGAGCGUUGUCCGGAAUCACUGGGCGUAAAGGGCGCGUAGGUGGCACGGGUAGUCGUCGGUGAAAGCUCAGGGCUCAACCCUGAGUCGGCCGGUGAUACUCCCGAGCUCGAGUGUGGUAGAGGCCAAUGGAAUUCCGGGUGUAGCGGUGGAAUGCGUAGAGAUCCGGAAGAACACCGGUGGCGAAGGCGGUUGGCUGGGCCACAACUGACACUGAUGUGCGACAGCGUGGGGAGCAAACAGG